AUGAAGGAAAAGGUUAGUUAGCUACACAGAGUCUGGAACCAGGAACGAAGGCAACUGGGACACAAAAUGAAGGAAAAGGUUAGUUAGCUACACAGAGUCUGGAACCAGGAACGAAGGCAACUGGGACACAACAUGAAGGAAAAGGUUAGUUAGCUACACAGAGUCUGGAACCAGGAACGAAGGCAACUGGGACACAACAUGAAGGAAAAGGUUAGUUAGCUACACAGAGUCUGGAACCAGGAACGAAGGCAACUGGGACACAAAAUGAAGGAAAAGGUUAGUUAGCUACACAGAGUCUGGAACCCGGAACGAAGGCAACUGGGACACAAAAUGAAGGAAAAGGUUAGUUAGCUACACAGAGUCUGGAACCAGGACACAAAAUGAAGGAAACGGUUAGUUAGCUACACAGAGUCUGGAACCAGGAACCAAGGCAACUGGGACACAAAAUGAAGGAAAAGGUUAGUUAGCUACACAGAGUCUGGAACCAGGAACCAAGGCAACUGGGACACAAAAUGAAGGAAAAGGUUAGUUAGCUACACAGAGUCUGGAACCAGGAACGAAGGCAACUCGGACACAAAAUGAAGGAAAAGGUUAGUUAGCUACACAGAGUCUGGAACCAGGAACCAAGGCAACUGGGACACAAAAUGAAGGAAACGGUUAGUUAGCUACACAGAGUCUGGAACCAGGAACGAAGGCAACUGGGACACAAAAUGAAGGAAAAGGUUAGUUAGCUACACAGAGUCUGGAACCAGGAACGAAGGCAACUGGGACACAACAUGAAGGAAAAGGUUAGUUAGCUACACAGAGUCUGGAACCAGGAACGAAGGCAACUGGGACACAAAAUGAAGGAAAAGGUUAGUUAGCUACACAGAGUCUGGAACCAGGAACGAAGGCAACUGGGACACAAAAUGAAGGAAAAGGUUAGUUAGCUACACAGAGUCUGGAACCAGGAACGAAGGCAACUGGGACACAAAAUGAAGGAAAAGGUUAGUUAGCUACACAGAGUCUGGAACCAGGAACGAAGGCAACUGGGACACAAAAUGAAGGAAAAGGUUAGUUAGCUACACAGAGUCUGGAACCAGGAACGAAGGCAACUGGGACACAAAAUGAAGGAAAAGGUUAGUUAGCUACACA